rnacentral:misc_RNA from 1 species
UACGAGGGGAGCAAGCGUUAUUCGGAAUUACUGGGCGUAAAGGGCGUGUAGGCGGCUUAUUAAGUUAAGUGUUAAAGACCGUUACAUAAUGACGGAAAGGCGCUUAAUACUGGUGAGCUAGAGGACAAGAGAGAGGGGUGGAAUUCUUGGAGUAGCGGUAGAAUGCGUAGAUCUCAAGAGGAACACCGAUGGCGAAGGCAGCCCCUUGGCUUGUAACUGACGCUGAGACGCGAAAGCGUGGGGAGCAAACAGG